UCUCUUCUAGCUUAGUGGUUAGAGCAUUGGUGCAUAAAGCCAAAGAUCCCGGGUUCAAUACUCGGCGAGGGCA
rnacentral:tRNA from 1 species